AUCCUUUUCCCAAAGAAAAACAAAAAGGUCCCCCUCUUUUCUCUCAAAGCUCCCAAGGUCCGGCCAAGGUCUAGGCGAUCGGCCACCGUGACUUCCGUCGAUCACCGGUGACGGUGCCGUCGUCCACGGUGGCCGGGAAAAUAAAAAGUCACCAUUUUUUUUUGCUUUUCGAUCCCCUAGCCCGAAAAAUGUGCUCUUUCAUCGGAGAGGGCAGUCCUCGGAAGCAACGGUGCCAGAGGCACGUGGAGGCAAGCAGAGUGGCGGUUGCAGAGGCGAGGGUGGCGGGCGGCGCUGGUUAAGCUAAAUGAGGCUAGGGUUUGUUGGCUGAAAAGUUUUAGGAUUAGUUGGGCUAGGGUUUAGUUUUGGGCCUGGGUAUUGGGUUAAUUUGUAAUGGGUUUUAAUUGGGUAGUAAUGGACUGUUGUUGGUUUACUGGUCCCGAUCAAAUUUGGGCAUUUACAGAGCUAGUUAAAA